AUCGAAUACAGCUUACGGGGGCCAAUUGUUGUCGUUUUUAGUGCAUUUUAUAUUGGGUCAUGCAUGUGCGUUUUUGCUUGGCCUCAUAUGGGUGCACAUGGAUACUCUUCCAACUCCUUCGUUCAAUUAUGAGCUCCCAAGAUUCUCCUACCCUCCCCAAAUUUCAUAAUCCACCACACCACAUCAAUUUUAGUAUCUUCUCAUCUAUGAUCUUGCCAUGUCACCCACCUGCAAUCUCACUGGUGUACUUUGAUAUAGCGGCUAGAUGCAUCAAAG
rnacentral:misc_RNA from 1 species